rnacentral:lncRNA from 1 species
UCUUCUUGUGAGUCUCUUUGCUGAUUUUAUUCAGGGAGAGAUUGAGGAGCUGGAUCAAAUUUUAAAUAUUUUGGAUCCUCGGUCGUCAACCUUGGAUCUUCCUUCUCUGCGCCAGCUUAUUGUUGAGCGGCAGAGUGUUGCUGUUGCUGCUAGGGAAUCAAUUUUGAAGAAUGGUCUGGUGGCGAUCUUCCGCCUGCCUCUUCUUCUGUUGUCCCUCCUCGUGGCCGACGUCGAAGGCGUCCCCGCCGCGGUGCUUCCCCGCUGGAUCAGGUCCCUCGCCGUUUACGUCGCCGUAUCAAUUUUAAUUAGGAACCUGUAAUAUUUCUCAUUCAUCAUUUUUUGUAAUUCUGAAUAAAUAUACUUUUACCUUUUCCUUACUCGAC